rnacentral:rRNA from 1 species
ACAAGCGGUGGAGCAUGUGGUUAAUUCGAAGCACGCGAAGAACCUUACCAGGCCUUGACAUGCAGAGAACUUUCCAGAGAUGGAUUGGUGCCUUCGGGAACUCUGACACAGGUGCUGCAUGGCUGCGUCAGCUCGUGUCGUGAGAUGUUGGGUUAAGUCCCGUAACGAGCGCAACCCUUGUCCUUAGUUACCAGCACGUUAUGGUGGGCACUCUAAGGAGACUGCCGGUGACAACCGGAGGAAGGUGGGGAUGACGUCAAGUCAUCAUGGCCCUUACGGCCUGGGCUACACACGUGCUACAAUGGUCGGUACAAAGGGUUGCCAAGCCGCGAGGUGGAGCUAAUCCCAUAAAACCGAUCGUAGUCCGGAUCGCAGUCUGCAACUCGACUGCGUGAAGUCGGAAUCGCUAGUAAUCGUGAAUCAGAAUGUCACGGUGAAUACGUUCCCGGGCCUU